rnacentral:miRNA from 1 species
CAGGACGCGCAGUUAACUUUGAAUUUCAGAUAAACAGUGAAUACUUUUUUAGUAUAAGUAUAUCCUCGUGCAAUAUUUGGGACAUACUUGUACUAAAAAGUCUUCAUUACAUAUCUGAAAUUCACAGUUGGCCAGGUGUCCUGUA